UCCGCCCAGGGUGAGUCGGGACCUAAGGCGAGGCCGACAGGCGUAGUCGAUGGACAACGGGUUGAUAUUCCCGUACCCGUGUGUGCGCGCCCGUGAUGAAUCAAUUGUGCUAACCACCCAAAUGGUCGCUGAUCAAUCCCUUCGGGGUGCGACGGUGACCGGCUGCGUGGGACCCCGGUUGGUAGUAGUCAAGCGACGGGGUGACGCAGGAAGGUAGCUGUACCAGUCAGUGGUAAUACUGGGGCAAGCCCGUAGGGAGAGCGAUAGGCAAAUCCGUCGCUCAUACAUCCUGAGAGGUGACGCAUAGCCGAUUGAGGCGAAUUCAGUGAUCCUCUGCUGCCAAGAAAAGCCUCUAGCGAGUUCACACACGGCCCGUACCCCAAACCAACACAGGUGGUCAGGUAGAGAAUACCAAGGCGUACGAGAUAACUAUGGUUAAGGAACUCGGCAAAAUACCCCCGUAACUUCGGGAGAAGGGGGGCCGGCACAUCGUGAACACCUUUUCGGUGGGAGCGGAAGCCGGUCGCAGAAACCAGUGAGAAGCGACUGUUUACUAAAAACACAGGUCCGUGCGAAGUCGCAAGACGAUGUAUACGGACUGACGCCUGCCCGGUGCUGGAAGGUUAAGAGGACCCGUUAACUCGUAAGGGUGAAGCGGAGAAUUUAAGCCCCAGUAAACGGCGGUGGUAACUAUAACCAUCCUAAGGUAGCGAAAUUCCUUGUCGGGUAAGUUCCGACCUGCACGAAUGGCGUAACGACUUCUCAACUGUCUCAACCAUAGACUCGGCGAAAUUGCACUACGAGUAAAGAUGCUCGUUACGCGCGGCAGGACGAAAAGACCCCGGGACCUUCACUAUAGCUUGGUAUUGUUGUUCGGUACGGUUUGUGUAGGAUAGGUGGGAGACUGUGAAACCUCGACGCUAGUUGAGGUGGAGUCGUUGUUGAAAUACCACUCUGAUCGUAUUGGACACCUAACGUCGAACCGUAUAUCCGGUUCACGGACAGUGCCUGGUGGGUAGUUUAACUGGGGCGGUUGCCUCCUAAAAUGUAACGGAGGCGCCCAAAGGUUCCCUCAACCUGGACGGCAAUCAGGUGUUGAGUGUAAAUGCACAAGGGAGCUUGACUGCGAGACUUACAAGUCAAGCAGGGACGAAAGUCGGGAUUAGUGAUCCGGCACCUCUGAGUGGAAGGGGUGUCGCUCAACGGAUAAAAGGUACCCCGGGGAUAACAGGCUGAUCUUCCCCAAGAGUCCAUAUCGACGGGAUGGUUUGGCACCUCGAUGUCGGCUCGUCGCAUCCUGGGGCUGGAGCAGGUCCCAAGGGUUGGGCUGUUCGCCCAUUAAAGCGGCACGCGAGCUGGGUUUAGAACGUCGUGAGACAGUUCGGUCUCUAUCCGCCGCGCGCGUCAGAAACUUGAGGAAACCUGUCCCUAGUACGAGAGGACCGGGACGGACGAACCUCUAGUGCACCAGUUGUCCCACCAGGGGCACUGCUGGAUAGCUACGUUCGGACAGGAUAACCGCUGAAAGCAUCUAAGCGGGAAACCUUCUCCAAGAUCAGGUUUCUCACCCUCUAGGAGGGAUAAGGCCCCCAGCAGAACACUGGAUUGAUAGGCCAGACCUGGAAGCUCAGUAAUGAGUGCAGGGAACUGGCACUAACCGGCCGAAAACUUACCAACACAACC
rnacentral:rRNA from 1 species